UAGGGAAUCUUCCGCAAUGGGCGAAAGCCUGACGGAGCAACGCCGCGUGAGUGAUGAAGGUCUUCGGAUCGUAAAACUCUGUUAUUAGGGAAGAACAAAUGUGUAAGUAACUAAGCACGUCUUGACGGUACCUAAUCAGAAAGCCACGGCUAACUACGUGCCAGCAGCCGCGGUAAUACGUAGGUGGCAAGCGUUAUCCGGAAUUAUUGGGCGUAAAGCGCGCGUAGGCGGUUUUUUAAGUCUGAUGUGAAAGCCCACGGCUCAACCGUGGAAGGUCAUUGGAAACUGGAAAACUUGAGUGCAGAAGAGGAAAGUGGAAUUCCAUGUGUAGCGGUGAAAUGCGCAGAGAUAUGGAGGAACACCAGUGGCGAAGGCGACUUUCUGGUCUGUAACUGACGCUGAUGUGCGAAAGCGUGGGGAUCAAACAGG
rnacentral:rRNA from 1 species